ACCCCUGUGAACAUACCUUAAUGUUGCCUCGGCGGAUCAGCCCGCGCCCCGUAAAACGGGACGGCCCGCCAGAGGACCCAAACUCUAAUGUUUCUUAUUGUAACUUCUGAGUAAAACAAACAAAUAAAUCAAAACUUUCAACAACGGAUCUCUUGGUUCUGGCAUCGAUGAAGAACGCAGCAAAAUGCGAUAAGUAAUGUGAAUUGCAGAAUUCAGUGAAUCAUCGAAUCUUUGAACGCACAUUGCGCCCGCUGGUAUUCCGGCGGGCAUGCCUGUUCGAGCGUCAUUUCAACCCUCAAGCCCCCGGGUUUGGUGUUGGGGAUCGGCUCUGCCUUCUGGCGGUGCCGCCCCCGAAAUACAUUGGCGGUCUCGCUGCAGCCUCCAUUGCGUAGUAGCUAACACCUCGCAACUGGAACGCGGCGCGGCCAUGCCGUAAAACCCCAACUUCUGAAUGUUGACCUCGGAUCAGGUAGGAAUACCCGCUGAACUUAAGCAUAUCAAUAAGCGGAGGA
rnacentral:rRNA from 1 species